rnacentral:rRNA from 1 species
AGUGAACGCUGGCGGCGUGCCUAAUACAUGCAAGUCGAACGGAGAUUAAGUAGCUUGCUAUUUAAUCUUAGUGGCGCACGGGUGAGUAAUAUAUAGCUAACUUGCCCAUUACUAAGGGACAACAGUUGGAAACGACUGCUAAUACCUUAUACUCCGUAUCUAUAUAAGUAGAUACGGGAAAGUUUUUCGGUAAUGGAUAGGGCUAUAUCGUAUCAGCUAGUUGGUAAGGUAAUGGCUUACCAAGGCUAUGACGCGUAACUGGUCUGAGAGGAUGAUCAGUCACACUGGAACUGAGACACGGUCCAGACUCCUACGGGAGGCAGCAGUAGGGAAUAUUGCUCAAUGGGGGAAACCCUGAAGCAGCAACGCCGCGUGGAGGAUGACACUUUUCGGAGCGUAAACUCCUUUUCUUGGGAAAGAAUUAUGACGGUACCCAAGGAAUAAGCACCGGCUAACUCCGU